rnacentral:lncRNA from 1 species
UAGACUCUAGAUUACUGAUUCUCAAAUCCUCUUUCUCUUAAGUACACAAACUCUAGUGUUGUGUUACUAGACAAGGAUUAGUCUCAAACUAGAGCUUAUCUCCUUCAUAUAACUGAUUUACUCUCUAGUAUAUUCGGAUAUAUUGUUGGUUAUUGGUGUGGAUUCCAUCACAAGUUGAUGAUCUCUUCCUCUUGAGAAUGAGUUCCCUUUGUGUGGAUAAACUGAGAUUCAAUCACCAAGUGAUUGUUUACUCUUUCUUAUGAGCUUAGUCUCUUCAAAUCCAACAUGGUAUCAGAGCAGGUUGCUCUCUUGGAACUCUUAAAAUCGUUCUCAAGUUAUUUUAAAUUUCUCUUAGUUGUUAAAUUGCUUAGCUUCUUUAAAGGUUUCAGCUUUAGACUAGAUUCUUUAAAGUUUCAGCUUUUAUUGUUAAAAUCGUUUCUCUAGCAGCUCAAUGUUGAGAAAAGCUUGGAUUCUGGUCUUGUUAAAGUUCUUAGACCAAGCAUGUGAAGAGAAAUUGAUGAUUCCAUUGGACAAACUGUUUUGUUCCAAUGGUUUCUUUAAAACUAGGCCACGGAAAUCAUCUUCAAUAUGGUAUUUCGUGGUUCAUAGUUCUUUAAAGUCACCGGAAAACUCUUGGUCAUGAGUUAUUUCGGUGUGUUUAUGUCUUAAACCGGUGGGUAAAUGAAUUGCCCAACGGUCCAUAUUGUUUCAGCCAUUAAAGCACCAAACUCUUGAUGAGUAUUGGAUGCCUUGGUUGUUAAAGCUUCCGCUCAACUCAAGAAAACAGAGCAAAACUCUGUCCAUUUGAACUCUUGAGCAAACUCU